rnacentral:rRNA from 1 species
ACGAACGCUGGCGGCAUGGAUUAGGCAUGCAAGUCGAACGGGUGUAGCAAUACACUAGUGGCGCAAGGGUGAGGAACACGUGAGUAAACUGCCCUUUAGUUGGGAAUAACCCCGCGAAAGCGGAGCUAAUACCGAAUGUGUCCCACAGCUCGCAUGGGUUGUGGUAUAAAGAUUUAUUGCUAAAGGAUGUGCUCGCGUCCCAUUAGCUAGUUGGUGAGGUAACGGCCCACCAAGGCAAUGACGGGUAGGUGGUCUGAGAGGAUGGUCACCCACACUGGGACUGAGAACUGCCCAGACUCCUACGGGAGGCUGCAGUCGAGAAUCUUCCGCAAUGGGCGAAAGCCUGACGGAGCAAUGCCGCGUGCAGGAUGAAGGCCUUCGGGUCGUAAACUGCUGUCACCGGGGAUGAAUAAUGACAGUACCCGGGGAGGAAGUCACGGCUAACUACGU